UACAGAGGUCUCGAGCGUUGUUCGGAUUCAUUGGGCGUAAAGGGUGCGUAGGUGGCGCUGUAAGUCGGGUGUGAAAUCCUGAGGCUUAACCUCGGAACUGCAUUCGAUACUGCGGCGCUUGAGGACUGGAGAGGAGACUGGAAUUCAUGGUGUAGCAGUGAAAUGCGUAGAGAUCAUGAGGAAGACCAGUGGCGAAGGCGGGUCUCUGGACAGUUCCUGACACUGAGGCACGAAGGCCAGGGGAGCAAAUGGG
rnacentral:rRNA from 1 species